GGGGAGAUAGCUCAGUUGGUAGAGUGCUUGCUUCCCAUGUGAAAGGCCCUGGGUUCAACCCCCAGCACCACCU
rnacentral:tRNA from 1 species